CGGAAGGUCCGGGCGUUAUCCGGAUUUAUUGGGUUUAAAGGGAGCGUAGGCCGGAGAUUAAGCGUGUUGUGAAAUGUAGUGGCUCAACCUCUGCACUGCAGCGCGAACUGGUCUUCUUGAGUACGCACAACGUGGGCGGAAUUCGUGGUGUAGCGGUGAAAUGCUUAGAUAUCACGAAGAACUCCGAUUGCGAAGGCAGCUCACGGGAGCGCAACUGACGCUGAAGCUCGAAAGUGCGGGUAUCGAACAGGAUUAGAUACCCUGGUAGUCCGCACGGUAAACGAUGGAUGCCCGCUGUUGGCCUGAAUAGGUCAGCGGCCAAGCGAAAGCAUUAAGCAUCCCACCUGGGGAGUACGCCGGCAACGGUGAAACUCAAAGGAAUUGACGGGGGCCCGCACAAGCGGAGGAACAUGUGGUUUAAUUCGAUGAUACGCGAGGAACCUUACCCGGGCUUGAAUUGCAGAGGAAGGAUUUGGAGACAAUGACGCCCUUCGGGGUCUCUGUGAAGGUGCUGCAUGGUUGUCGUCAGCUCGUGCCGUGAGGUGUCGGCUUAAGUGCCAUAACGAGCGCAACCCCUCUCCUCAGUUGCCAUCAGGUGAAGCUGGGCACUCUGGGGACACUGCCACCGUAAGGUGUGAGGAAGGUGGGGAUGACGUCAAAUCAGCACGGCCCUUACGUCCGGGGCUACACACGUGUUACAAUGGCAUGUACAGAAAGCUGGGUGUAUGCAAAUACGCUCGAAUCCCUAAAACAUGUCUCAGUUCGGACUGGGGUCUGCAACCCGACCCCACGAAGC
rnacentral:rRNA from 1 species